rnacentral:rRNA from 1 species
CUUGACAUCCAGAGAAUUUAGCAGAGAUGCUUUAGUGCCUUCGGGAACUCUGAGACAGGUGCUGCAUGGCUGUCGUCAGCUCGUGUUGUGAAAUGUUGGGUUAAGUCCGCAACGAGCGCAACCCUUAUCCUUUGUUGCCAGCACGUAAUGGUGGGAACUCAAAGGAGACUGCCGGUGAUAAACCGGAGGAAGGUGGGGAUGACGUCAAGUCAUCAUGGCCCUUACGAGUAGGGCUACACACGUGCUACAAUGGCGCAUACAAAGAGAAGCGACCUCGCGAGAGCAAGCGGACCUCAUAAAGUGCGUCGUAGUCCGGAUUGGAGUCUGCAACUCGACUCCAUGAAGUCGGAAUCGCUAGUAAUCGUAAAUCAGAAUGUUACGGUGAAUACGUUCCCGGGCCUUGUACACACCGCCCGUCACACCAUGGGAGUGGGUUGCAAAAGAAGUAGAUAGCUUAACCUUCGGGAGGGCGUUUACCACUUUGUGAUUCAUGACUGGGGUGAAGUCGUAACAAGGUAGGCGUAGACGU